AAAUCAUGGACAUGUCUUUGUAGAGACUUGGAAACCUCUGUGGUUUUUUGACAAGCAAAAAUUGGCCUGGGAGGAACACAAAUCAGCAGGAUUCAAUAACAGCAACAUGCAAAUGGAGAAAAAAUAGUGAAGUGACCUUCUAAAGGCCGCAGAAGGAGUUGAAACAGAGAUGAGAUCAAGGAGUUCCUGACUACCCUGUGUGUGUGGGGAAAACAUCAGAUUCUUCUGCAUCUCUCUUCUGCAUCUAUUGCACUGACAAAGGCCUUUCACCACACUCACGUGAACAUGUCCACAAGAUGGAUUUUUAUGACUGUAGUGGAAUCUGGUAGAGGGCCAGGACAUUUUGGUUUUUAGCUAUCCGUAUAAUAUUUGCCUGAUGUGCUUCUUUCUCUCCUGCCUCUAAGCAUUUUUCAAUAAAUAGGCAAAAUUAUCCAGGAGCAAGGCUGCAAGGGCCAGCAUGGAGCCAGUGAAGUCACGUCUCCCAUACUUGUAUAGUUAGCAGCAAGUAUAUAUAACACAGCCCUGCCCUUCCUCUUCUAAUGAAAGUGGCUCACCACCAGGCAACUGAUCUCUUGAGAAACCUCGAAACAAAUAGCCAGAAGUGAGUGGUGGGGAGAGGAAAGAUAUAUAUGAAUUCUUUCAAGCAAGACACGUCAUGGAGCUACCUAGAUUUUCUAC